AGUAUUACUGGUACUGCAUGAAUAUUGA
rnacentral:sRNA from 1 species